rnacentral:rRNA from 1 species
AUCCGGGGAGAUAUUUAUCCUGGAGCCCGUGGAGGCUUCCAACGUUGACAGAGACGAAGUGGAGGACGGAUAGACCGUAUCAGCGUACUAUGCGUAGUUGCUGUACUACGAGUUACCGGGGGCGAAGUGAAACUGAAACGUGCGCUUGGAAGUACGUCGCCAAGCUGAAACUUAAAGAAUUGGCGGGGGAGGACCACAACCGGGGGAGCUGCGGUUUAAUUGGAUUAACGCCGGGCAGCUCACCGGAUUAGACAAGCGGAAUGAUAGCCGGGCUGAAGACCUUGCUUGACCAGCUGAGAGGAAGUGCAUGGCCGUUGUCAGUUUGUACUGUGAAGCAUCCUGUUUAGUCAGGCAACGAGCGAGACCCCCGCCCACCGUUGGUGGGCGCGUUCUCCGGAAAGAAGAGGACAAAAGAUGGGGCCGCCUUUUGUUAAGGGGGGGGGGGGAUGGGCAACGGUAGGUCCAGCCAUGCCCCGAAUUAUCCGGGGUUCCCGCGGGGUUCAAUGGUCAAAACAAAAGGAAACGGCCCUGAAAAAGGUAGUCCAUUUUCUAAACCUGUCCCCAGUUCGGGAUGUGGGGCGCAACUCGCCCCACAGAAAGCGGAAUCCGUGUAAUCGCGUUCAAAAAAGCGCGGGGAAAAGUCCCUCUCCUGCACACCCGAAUGUACCUGUCCCUCGGUCAGAGCUUCUUCUUCUUUGAGCAGUGAGUCGUUUCGAGCUGCGAUCUU